rnacentral:lncRNA from 1 species
GCAGGACGGCCGGGGGUGUAGGAGAUGAGCUGGAGCAGGGGCAUGGUGGGGACAGGCUGGGGACAGCGAGGUCUGGUUGGGGUCACAGGGUCCAGCUGGGGACAGGGGGUCCACUGAGGCCCAGCCCUGGACUGUGUCCUGGAGACAUCCCUGGGGACUGACCUGGGGAUGCUGGGGACAUUCCAGGGACCCUGGGGACACCUGGGAACCCCGGUGUGCAGCCCGGGGACCCCGAGGCAUCUUCUGGGGACCCUGGGGGACCCCCGGGACCCUCCAGCAGCACCUGGGUACCUCCGCAUCACCCCUGAGUUCAGCCUGGGGACAUCAACUCCCCUCCUCCCCGAGCUCGUGGGGACACUGGUGCCACAGAGCUGCGGGGACCUCGAGGACAGUUGGAGGGAUCCGGGGGAGGGGCGGGGGUGUCGCUGCUCGGGGCUGUGUCCCCUUCGCUGCUUCGGGGCCUUCUCGGGGGCUCAGAGGGAGCUGGCAGUGCCACCACCUCCCUGCUGACUGUCCCCGCGUUAUCCCCCUCACUGGGGGCUGCCAGGCCCCUUUGGCAUCCCCUUCCUCCUCCUCGCGCUCAGGAUGAGGCUGGCAGUGCCAUCCCCCUUAUCCUGCGCUGUCCCCGCGCUGUCCCCACGCUGUGCCCCUCACUGGGGGCUGCGGGGCCCCUUUGGCGUCCCCUUCCUCCUCCUCCUCCUCCGCCUCCUCCUCCUCCCCGCGCUCAGAGCGAGGCUGGCAGUGCCACCACCUCCCCCGCGAGUGUCCCCGCGCUGUCCCCACGCUGUCCCCGCGCUGUCCCCGCAGCCGAGGCUGGCAGCUGCCUGCAGGACGGGCACCGCUACAGCGACAAGGACGUGUGGAAGCCGGAGCCGUGCCGGAUCUGCGUGUGCGACACGGGGACAGUGCUGUGCGACGAAAUCAUCUGCGAGGAGCUGCGGGACUGCCCCAGCCCCGAGAUCCCCUUCGGAGAGUGCUGCCCCAUUUGCCCCACCGAGCAGCCCAGUGGUUGGCAGCCAGGCCCGAAGGUGAGCAAAUUUGGGGGGCAAUUGUCCCAAAUUUUGGAGUGGUUUUU